CCAAUUAUCAUUUUAGAGACAGUUUAACAACUGCCUAACCAUCACCUGAUGGUCACCUGACAUUCUUGGGCUGGGAGUUCGCGGGGCUCUCCUGCUGUGCUCACCAUUGCCUAACUAUCUACUGUAACAAUACCACCUAGCAAAGCUGUGGCCGUGUCUUGCAGGAAGAAGCACAUGUUCUUCCUCCAGAGUCCAAUAUGAUGUCUAAAGCAGAUGUGUUCUGAACCCACCACUUGUCCAAUUUCAUCGUCUUCUUGGAUGAGGAGUUCUGUGGCUUAGAGGAGAAAAAGAAACCUUUUUCUCUACUCUCAGCAUGACCACCCUUGCAAGAUAUGAGACCCUCCACCUUACACUUGCCAC